rnacentral:rRNA from 1 species
GACGAACGCUGGCGGCGCGCCUAACACAUGCAAGUCGAACGGAGCUGAGAGAAGCUUGCUUUUCUUAGCUUAGUGGCGAACGGGUGAGUAACGCGUGAGUAACCUGCCCUGGAGUGGGGGACAACAGUUGGAAACGACUGCUAAUACCGCAUAAGCCCACGAUCCGGCAUCGGAUUGAGGGAAAAGGAUUUAUUCGCUUCAGGAUGGACUCGCGUCCAAUUAGCUAGUUGGUGAGGUAACGGCCCACCAAGGCGACGACUGGUAGCCGGACUGAGAGGUUGAACGGCCACAUUGGGACUGAGACACGGCCCAGACUCCUACGGGAGGCAGCAGUGGGGGAUAUUGCACAAUGGGGGAAACCCUGAUGCAGCGACGCCGCGUGGAGGAAGAAGGUUUUCGGAUUGUAAACUCCUGUCGUUAGGGACGAUAAUGACGGUACCUAACAAGAAAGCACCGGCUAACUACGUGC